CCCCCAAAUCGCAAAAAACCUCUCCAAUCGCGAACCCUUCCUCUCCUAGGGUCUCCAAUCGCACACCUUCCUCUUCGUUCAGCCGCCGGCCGCCGGCCGCCACCCGCCACUUGCCAUUCCCUCAUCUACGUUCAACCGCCGUCACCCGCCAUUGCCUCCCUCUCGCGUUCAGCAGCCGGGCGCCAUUUCCGGCCUCGUCUCGGGUUGAGCAGCCGGCGCCCUCCAUUCCGCCUUGUCUCGCGUUCAGCCGUCGCCGCCCUCUCCUCCACCGAUUGUCGACGCUAAACACCACAUCCACCGCUGCCGAUUUGCACGUUAAGAAUUGAGGGCUUCUAGUUGGGAAAGAGUUCAAGGAGAGUCGUACCGGGUAGAUGAUCUGCAAGGGAUGUUUACUGAUCUGCAGUGUCUCUGAGGAAGGAGAGCCGUACUAUUGAGGAGCAGUUUAACCAGAUGCUUCGCGAAUGGAAAGCAAAGCUGAAUGAGCCCUCCCCGACUUCUUCUUAUAAGGUCAUUGCAGCAACAAAUCGAGCUGAUAUUUUAGAUCCUGCUUUGAUGAGGUCUGGUCGUCUGGAUUGUAAGAUCGAGUUUCCUCAUCCUACUGAAAAAGUCAGGGCUAGGAUCUUGUAGGUAGUGCCUUGAUCUAAUGUUUUCUCUUACUUUCCUCCCCUGCUCCAACCUUUUUCUCCUUCCAACACAAAAAGGAAAAGUUCUCUUCUGUCUUGUCCUGUUGUGUAUUGGAUACUAAAAUGCACAAAACUUCAGAUCCACUCCAGUGUCGAAUCCUUCUUCUAUGAGGAGCAUAAUUGAGUGUGUGAUUGUGUCCAUUAAAAUGAAGUUGUGGGGACCCUCAAUUUGGUGGUUGAACUGUGAAAUCUACCUCUAAGAACAUUAUGCUUUGAUUAGUCAAUUGUGAAAUGUUUGAGUGCUUUCCAGGAAUAGUUUUUUGGUGUUGUAUAUUCUUGUGUUUGGUUGUUUUUAAUUAUUGUUAAUCUUGGGGUGCAUUAUUGGUA